UUAUCUCAGGCUGAUCUGAACUAGUACUCUGGUUCAAGAAUUGAGCAAAGAUAACAGCUAGAUCAAUAUCCGACCCAGUAGUAGUAGCAGGUCCUGGUUGGUUCCCUGUGUCUCCAUGGGAAGUAGUGGCACCCAUCAUAUGCUCCUGGUGAGUCCCGAAACUAGUUAAAUUCUUGCUAUAAUUCGUGGAAACCUGAGCACCGUUUUUGUCCACCCUGUUGGACUUACCUCGUCGACUCUUGCGACAACCACCACCAACAGGCACAUUCCUAAGGGAACCACCUUUGGUCCAAUACCUUCGGCAACCUUUGCAAAAGUACCGCGGCUGGGACAAGCUGUAGUUGUUGUAAUAACAGAACUUGGUGUUAGCAGAGGCACAACGUGGACAAUUGGGAGCAAGUUCAGCGUUG
rnacentral:lncRNA from 1 species